rnacentral:rRNA from 1 species
GUGACCCUACGGGACGCAGCAGUAGGGAAUCUUCCACAAUUGGCGAAAGCCUGAUGGAGCAACGCCGCGUGGGUGAAGAAGGUCUUCGGAUCGUAAAACCCUGUUGUUAGAGAAGAAAGUGCGUGAGAGUAACUGUUCACGUUUCGACGGUAUCUAACCAGAGAGCCACGGCUAACUACGUGCCAGCAGCCGCGGUAAUACGUAGGUGGCAAGCGUUAUCCGGAUUUAUUGGGCGUAAAGAGAACGCAGGCGGUCUUUUAAGUCUGAUGUGAAAGCCUUCGGCUUAACCGGAGUAGUGCAUUGGG